CAGCCUCCCAAAGUGUAAGCAUUACAGGCGUGAGCCACCACGCCCAGCCUAGGCAGUCAUUUCUUGAUGCAGCUUUUGGGCUGGGCAAGGGGAUUUUAUUUUAUUUCUUUCAGAAAACAAUCAUUUCUCCUUUUUACUUAUUUGUUUUCUACUCAUUAAUUUCUGGCUUUAUCUUCAUAAUUCUCCCUACUUUUUAAAAUGCACUUUAUUGUUCUCAUUCUAGUUUCUUAGGGUGGCACAAAGUCCCUCUCGUUUAUUUUUUCCUCUAAAAAAUAAGAGCUGUGCUGGGGGCUCUGGGCGCUGCAUUAGCUGAGUCCUCGAUAUUUAUGGAUUGAUAUUUAUGGCUUCUCGGCUUUUCAGAGAGUGCACGUUCAGAUUUAAUAUCCUGUUUUACCCAAGGGCUACCUGGGAGUGUGUUGGUUUCUAAGUUUCUGGGGGAAGAGGUGGCACUUUCCGUUAUUUAUUUUACAAUUUUUUGGAUAACAGGAUCAUUUUAAUUAUUCUACUUUUUAGUUCCUUGAGGUUUUCUUUGCAGCCAAUACACAACAGACAUGGACUUAUCGGAAGUCGGAACGUUUGGAAGCUCUGUUUCCCGUGAGGAAUCUUCGGAAGCGCUGUUUCCCAUGAGGAACGUGAGCAUGACCAUCCAUAUUGAUCUGUCUGCAUUUUUCUGUUGCCACUAGACCUAAUUAUGGAGAGAGAGACACGGAGGGAGCUCCUGUGACCCUCAAGUCCCCUCAUCAUGUCCCCGUCCUGUUGGCUUUCCGAGUUUAGCUCCCAUGUUUGGACCAUGGAGGUUUAUGUCUUCUAUCUCAGUCAUCGUCCCUGCCACAUGCCCAACCAGACAUGCUGACAUCACAGGCCCUACUUAGCCCUGUUUCCUCUCCCCUUGGCCUCACCUUGAUGUCAGGGGGGUGUCCUCUGGUCUGACUCAGAGGCAGUGACUGGCUUCCUUCUAGUACCUUCUCUGGAUAAUGAGUAUGGAUGACAUACCUUCUAGUGUCUGCUGUCGCGCUUACCGGUGACACUUCUGGGCUGGUUUGUGAUGCCUGGGAUGGAGCCGUCUCCCUAGUGGUCAUGGAUGAUGUUUCACUGUCCCCUGCUUCUGGUGGCACAGAUGAGAACUCCAGGCCUCGUGCUCUCUCUGCUGGCACACACAUCUUCCCUCCAUGCUGGCUGCACACCUGCCCAUGGGGUUUCUGCAGGAGAGGAGACAGCCAGAGGCCCAAGUGGGGUGUGUGGCAGGCAGGCAGCAACCCUGGUCACUGCAGUGGCCUCUGCUCUGAGUCUCGGGAGUAACCCUGGUCACCGCAGUGGCCUCUGCUCUGCUUCUCAGCUAUGCCUGGUGUGACCCCCAGGGUCUUGGUCGGCAUGAGGCCACAGAGCUCACGUGCACUUCCCGCAGCUGCUUCCACGGUAUAGAUGAGAGGUUCCCAUGGAGCUCACAUGACCUCUAGAGACUUGCAGACCCCUAUGCUGUCAGACAGAGGAGGCUGAGGCUCAGAGAGGCACAGUCACCUUCUUGAAGAUGCACAGCCGUGAGUGAAGAAGCUGGGAUUUCUCCUGGUCUCUCUGACCCUGGAACACGUGGCCUCUGGGUGUGCCCAGUAAGAGACGUUAAAGAAGGGCCUCCCCCAUGAGCCCUGACUGAGGCGGGGCGCUAGGCACCCCAUCGAUGUGCUUCGUGGUUCACAGGGGAGAGGCAGAGGGCCUGUCGGGGGGCAGCGAUGGGGCAGCCAGAGGGGGCGGUCCUGGCCUGUGUGAGCCUCCUUGAGGGGAGGGUGCCAGGAACUACCCCAUGAUCUUCUAUUCUCAUGUAAGCCACAAGACCCCAACCCAGAUCCCCACAGCAAAGGCGAAGUCACCAACUCAACAAGGCGCGUGGCCAGGCGUGGGGCUCACGCCUGCAAUCCCAGCACCAUGGGAGGCUGAGCAGGAGGAUGGCUCGAAGCCAGGAGUUCGAAACCAGCCUGUGCAACACAGCGAGACCGCUCUACAAAAAUAAAAAAAAAUCAGCUGGGUGUGGUAGUGC
rnacentral:lncRNA from 10 species